rnacentral:rRNA from 1 species
UACAGAGGUCCCGAGCGUUGUUCGGAAUUACUGGGCGUAAAGGGCGCGUAGGCGGCCGCCUAAGUCAGACGUGAAAUCCCUCGGCUCAACCGGGGAACUGCGUCUGAUACGUGGGUGGCUUGGAAUUCGGGAGAGGGAUGCGGAAUUCCGAGGUGUAGGCGGUGAAAUGCGUAGAUAUCGGAGGAACACCGGUGGCGAAGGCGGAUC